UUCAUCCAUCCCAGGGAAAAUGCCCUCCACCUGUGUCAAGGGGAGGUUUGGCCACCAGCUCCAGCACCUCCAAGCCACCCCAGAGCUCCUCUCCCUUCACCUGAGAGCGCUGGGCAGAGCAGCUCUUGCCCGUCUCUUUCUUGGGAUGGUUUUUAACUCCUGUGUUUUGUUUUUUUUUUUUUAACAGGGGGCUGUCUUGGAAAUUUCUGCAGUAGCACUGGGUAGGAGGGACAAGUUGGAUCCCUUGGACCCCGGCAGGGGAGAAGAGUAUUACUAUGUCCAGGAGAGCAACUUCUACUGCAAGAAGUGCCCUCCAGGCAAGUACGUUGCUGCUCACUGCAAGGAGCCCAAUGGCUCCAGCCUGUGUUUGCCCUGUAAAGAGGACGAAUCCAUCGGGUACCCAAACGAAUACACCGAAUAUCCAAACGACUUUUUGAAGUGUCUCCCCUGCCGGACGUGUAGGGAAGGUAGGAGCUGGUGGUGGAAGAGGGUGACGCUGGCUGGUAGCACAGGUUGGGUGGGAUCAGCUGACUGGAGACCUCUCUAAUAUUUCAAGAGCACAGUCACCUCCAGCGUCCCCCAAAGAGUGGCUCUGGGUCUGGAAUGGGUGUCAUGGCUUGUGCCAGACCUACAUCUCCGUUUGCUGCAGCAUCCCCUCCUACAAAGCUUGGACACGAGACCUCCAUCCAGCCUGGACCAGGGUUCACGGCAGCGUCGUAGGCUGCUGCUGGUGGAGCUUUGAUGCGAGCCUUGCUUUUCUCUUGGAUGAGGUGGAGACAAGUCCCUGCAGACCCACCAGCAACACCCAGUGUGCCUGCAAGAGUGGUACCUUCUGCUCCCCGGACCACCCCUGUGAGAUGUGCCAGAAGUGCCGGCCCCGGUGAGUUGGGUGCUGUGGCUGG